CCUACGGGUGGCAGCAGUGGGGAAUAUUGCACAAUGGGGGAAACCCUGAUGCAGCGAAGCCGCGUGAGUGACGAAGUAAUUCGUUAUGUAAAGCUCUAUCAGCAGGGCAGAAAAUGACGGUACCUGCGUAAGAAGCCCCGGCUCACUACGUGCCAGCAGCCUCGGUAAUACGUAGGGGGCCAGCGUUAUCCGGCUUUACUGGGGGUAAAGGGAGCGUAGACGGCAGUGCAAGUCUGGAGUGAAAGGCGGGGGCUCAACCCCCGGACUGCUCUGGAAACUGUACGGCUGGAGUGCAGGAGAGGUAAGUGGAAGGCCUAGUGUAGCGGUGAAAUGCGUAGAGAUUAGGAGGAACACCAGUGGCGAAGGCGGCUUACUGGACUGUAACUGACGUUGAGGCUCGAAAGCGUGGGGAGCAAACAGGAUUAGAUACCCCUGUAGUC
rnacentral:rRNA from 1 species